CUUUUGCUGACGAGUGGCGCACGGGUGAGUAAUAUAUAGGUAACGUGCCUCUUAGUCUGGGAUAGCCAUUGGAAACGAUGAUUAAUACUAGAUACUCCUUCUCAUUAUAAUUUGAGUCGGGAAAGUUUUUCGCUAAGAGAUCGGCCUAUAUCCCAUCAGUUAGUUGGUAAGGUAACGGCUUACCAAGGCAAUGACGGGUAGCGGGUUUGAGAGGAUGAUCCGCCACACUGGUACUGAGACACGGACCAGACUCCUACGGGAGGCAGCAGUGAGGAAUAUUGCACAAUGGAGGAAACUCUGAUGCAGCAACGCCGCGUGGAGGAUGACGCAUUUCGGUGUGUAAACUCCUUUUAUAAGGGAAGAAAAUGACGGUACCUUAUGAAUAAGCACCGGCUAACUCCGUGCCAGCAGCCGCGGUAAUACGGAGGGUGCAAGCGUUACUCGGAAUCACUGGGCGUAAAGGACACGUAGGCGGGUUGUCAAGUCAGGUGUGAAAUCCUACAGCUUAACUGUAGAACUGCACUUGAAACUGGCAACCUAGAGUAUGGGAGGGGGAGAUGGAAUUAGUGGUGUAGGGGUAAAAUCCGUAGAUAUCACUAGGAAUACCGAAAGCGAAGGCGAUCUCCUGGAACAUUACUGACGCUAAGGUGUGAAAGCGUGGGGAGCAAACGGGAUUAGAUACCCCGGUAGUCCACGCCCCUAAACGAUGAACACUAGUCGUCGGGAUGCUAGUCAUCUCGGUGAUGCACUUAAACAGAUUAAGUUGUUUCCGCCCUG
rnacentral:rRNA from 1 species